ACAGCAGCAGCCACGGUAAUACGUAGGGGGCAAGCGUUAUCCGGAAUAACUGGGCGUAAAGGGUGCGCAGGUGGUUUAACAAGUUAGUGGUGAAAGGCAUAGGCUCAACCAAUGUAAGCCAUUAAAACUGUUUAACUUGAGUGCAGGAGAGGAAAGUGGAAUUCCUAGUGUAGCGGUGAAAUGCGUAGAUAUUAGGAGGAAUACCAGUGGCGAAGGCGACUUUCUGGACUGCAACUGACACUGAGAGACGAAAGCUAGGGGAGCAAAUGGGAUUAGAUACCCGUGUAGUCCCUGUCUCUUAUACA
rnacentral:rRNA from 1 species